rnacentral:rRNA from 1 species
GACGAACGCUGGCGGCGUGCUUAACACAUGCAAGUCGAACGCUGAAGCUCAGCUUUUGUUGGGUGGAUGAGUGGCGAACGGGUGAGUAACACGUGAGUAACCUGCCUCCUUCUUUGGGAUAACGCCCGGAAACGGGUGCUAAUACUGGAUAUUCACUGGUCUUCGCAUGGGGGUUGGUGGAAAGGGUUUUUCUGGUGGGGGAUGGGCUCGCGGCCUAUCAGCUUGUUGGUGGGGUGAUGGCCUACCAAGGCUUUGACGGGUAGCCGGCCUGAGAGGGUGACCGGUCACAUUGGGACGGAGAUACGGCCCAGACUCCUACGGGAGGCAGCAGUGGGGAAUAUUGCACAAUGGGCGCAAGCCUGAUGCAGCGCCGCCGCGUGAGGGAUGGAGGCCUUCGGGUUGUGAACCUCUUUCGCUCAUGGUCAAGCCGCAACAAUGGUUGUGGUGAGGGUAGUGGGUAAAGAAGCGCCGGCUAACUACGUG